rnacentral:lncRNA from 10 species
CGGGUUGGUCUCAGGAUUUGUUGUGUGCCUUGUGGAUAUCACUGUCAAAAGAAGUAUAGGAGCAUGUGGGCAUGAACUGGUUUGGGAACAAAUACUACUCUAUUCCAGAGUACAAGAACUGGAGAGGUGAGGACAAACUAUUCAAGAGAAAAGAAUUGUAGAAGCAGCAAAUAAAAAAUUAGACUGUGAAGUAGGGGAUAUUCCAACAGAAUGGGAAGCUUAGAUCAGAAGAACAAAAAAGAGAAAACAAGAAUAACUCCACCUACGAUGGAGGAAAUACUAAAGAAUGAAAAAUACAGAGAAGAAAUUAAAAAGCAAAGAUUUUUAUGAAAACCAAAAACUCCUUAGUAAAGAGACUAGUGAGGAACUCUUGGCUCCACCAGUUCAAACUCAAAGGACAUGGCUUUGCUCCAUACUUCGGAAAGGAAGAACUCACUGGUUCCCACCAGCACUGGUAAAACCUUUCAGCCAGAAUCCCAGAUGCCGCAAGAUAGAAGGAGCCACAGUCAG